rnacentral:misc_RNA from 1 species
GAUGAAGAACGUAGCGAAACGCGAUACGUAAUGUGAAUUGCAGAAUUCAGUGAAUCAUCGAAUCUUUGAACGCACCUUGCGCCCCUCGGCAUUCCGAGGGGCAUGCCUGUUUGAGUGUCACGGAUCCUUCGAACCCCGCCGGUCUCCGACGAGCCGGCCGCCUGGGUUCGGUCCUGGGCGCUACGCCACCCCUCCGGGGCUGGCCCGCCCCAAAAGCAUCAGCUGGGCCUCGCGGCGUGGGCGGGCUCCGAUCGGCGUGAUAAGUCAUCUGCCGAGAGGGUGCCCGUCCGUCCCGCGGAUCGCGGUCCGCUCCCAACCCCUCCCCGCGCGCCGUCCCCCCCCGGGGAGCGCGCAGGGACGUUUCGACGCUCUGGCCUCAAAUCAGGUAGGACCACCCGCUGAACUUAAGCAUAUCAAUAAGCGGAGGA